GAAACAGCACCAACAGGACUAAACAGCCACAGCGGGCGGCAUGGGGGGGGCAGAGGCGCUGGAGCCCCGGGCACCGGUGGACCCUCCCCGCCCAGCACGACACCUAAUGGCGUCCCGGCCGUCCUGGGCAAACAGCCCCCCAAAGAGCCAGAUCCUCCGCGCCCCUGUCACCCCCCUGGGGAACUGAGAUGGCCUCGCUUCCCGCUUGUUACCUGUCCUGCCAAGUCCGUAGCGCAGCGUCGGCCCUGCCCGGGGUGCCCCACGGCUUCGACAAACGCACUAGUUAAAGGUCACUCACGUUGUCUGGGCCAACUCGGGUUUUCACUUGCUCCAAGUGGUAGCAGCGCCCAGGACUGGGACCGAGACAAAGUCACAGUCUGUUUACAGAACUUCUGACAAGCAAGCCAGGGGGUCUCGAGGACAGAGCGUCCCUGGAGCCUCUGCUGACCGAGCACUUGUCUGGAGUAAAGUCAACAUCACCUGAACCUUCAUGUUGCAAUUCUCUCAACAGCAUCCACAGAGCUGCUCUUCGCAACGGCCCAGGGCCUUCUGCAGCCUCACGCAGGAAGCCGAUUCGGGCGCAGGCCAGUCUGAACUAAAGAGGCAAACAAACCCGUUUUGUUGGAGGGUAAAAUGAAAAGGUUUUCGGCUUCA